rnacentral:rRNA from 1 species
CCUACGGGGUGCAGCAGUGGGGAAUAUUGGACAAUGGGCGAAAGCCUGAUCCAGCCAUGCCGCGUGUGUGAAGAAGGCCUUCGGGUUGUAAAGCACUUUCAGUGGGGAAGAAAGCCUUGGGGCUAAUACCCUCGAGGAAGGACAUCACCCACAGAAGAAGCACCGGCUAACUCCGUGCCAGCAGCCGCGGUAAUACGGAGGGUGCGAGGCGUUAAUCGGAAUUACUGGGCGUAAAGCGCGCGUAGGCGGUCUGAUAAGCCGGUUGUGAAAGCCCCGGGCUCAACCUGGGAACGGCAUCCGGAACUGUCAGGCUAGAGUGCAGGAGAGGAAGGUAGAAUUCCCGGUGUAGCGGUGAAAUGCGUAGAGAUCGGGAGGAAUACCAGUGGCGAAGGCGGCCUUCUGGACUGACACUGACGCUGAGGUGCGAAAGCGUGGGUAGCAAACAGGAUUAGAUACCCCAGUAGUC